rnacentral:snRNA from 1 species
UAAUGUGAAGAUGAUCUGGCUAUGACACCUGUUACCUCAUUGAUCACUAGAUAGGCAAAUGUUCCCAUCCUCCCUAACCAUCCCAUGCAUGUCCCUCCUGAAGCUGUGCCCUUGAUAGGAGAGGAUGAACUUCCCUGAUAGAAAGGGACUCUUCUCUGCACAGGGUAUAUGAUCUUAAAGCCUCCCUUCUAGAAUCUCCAAAGAAGCUCUCAGUACAGGAACCAAGGCAGUGGGAAGGUAUGGGAGAGCUGCAUGGGUGUAUGGCAUUCAU